rnacentral:rRNA from 1 species
GGUAGCAUGCUUGUCUGAGUGUCUGUGGAUCCCACUCAGCGCUGGUUUAGGCCGGUCGCUGGUUGUUUUGGCCUUGACAGCUACUAGUAGCUGUCUCUGCUUAAGUUCUACGGUAUCGUACGUGCAUAGAUUUAGUUACCUCAACCUGUCUUGUCAAGACGGCGUUGACACUCUUGUCUAUCUCUGGUAGCUUGUAUUUAUUACAAAUAUCUGGAGUUUGUUAAGAUUGUCAUGUUCAGCUGUUUGAAACUUUUCGAUUGAGUGUCACUAGAUCUAGCUAGCUAUACUUUCCUGUAUUAGCUAGCUAUCCAAUUCCGGAUCUCAGAUCAAGCAAGAGGACCCGCCGAAUUUAAGCAUAUAAUUAAGCGGAGGAAAAGAAACUAACUAGGAUUCCCUCAGUAACGGCGAGUGAAGCGGGACUAGCUCAGGAUGUGAAUCUGCGCUUUUAUGGCGCCGAAUUGUGGUCUGUAGACUUUGACAUUAUCUGCCGGGCCAAGUUCCUUGGAAAAGGACAGCUGAGAGGGUGAGACUCCCGUCCGCCUGGUAGAGUGAGUCAUUUGUCAACGAGUCGAGUUGUUUGGGAUUGCAGCUCUAAUUUGGUGGUAAAUUCCAUCUAAAGCUAAAUAUUGGUGGGAGACCGAUAGCGUACAAGUACCGUGAGGGAAAGAUGCAAAGAACUUUGAAAAGAGAGUUAAAGAGUACCUGAAACUGCUGAAACGGAAGCGAAGGAAACCAGUGUUUGUUGGUUCAUAUUUCCCCGGCCACUUGUGGUUUGGGCGCUGUGAGCUUGCGUGAGUUUGGGUUGGUUGAAUCCUUU